CCUACGGGGAGCAGCAGUGAGGAAUAUUGGUCAAUGGGCGCGAGCCUGAACCAGCCAAGCCGCGUGAAGGAUGACGGCCCUACGAGUUGUAAACUUCUUUUAUAAAGGAGUAAAGUGAGGUACGUGUGCCUGUUUGUAUGUACUUUAUGAAUAAGGAUCGGCUAACUCCGUGCCAGCAGCCGCGGUAAGACGGAGGAUCCGAGCGUUAUCCGGAUUUAUUGGGUUUAAAGGGAGCGUAGGUGGGUUGUUAAGUCAGUUGUGAAAUGUUGGGGCUCAACCCCAAAACUGCAGUUGAUACUGGUAGACUUGAGUACAGUAGAGGUAGGCGGAAUUCGUGGUGUAGCGGUGAAAUGCUUAGAUAUCAGGAAGAACACCGAUUGCGAAGGCAGCUUACUAAGCUGCAACUGACGUUGAGGCUCGAAAGUGUGGGUAGCAAACAGGAUUAGAUACCCGAGUAGUC
rnacentral:rRNA from 1 species